AUGCUGCACCUGUGUACAUUCCCAAAGAGGUACCUUUCAGUUGUUGCAAGAAAAAGAAAGCAAAGAAGAAAAAAAUUGUGGACAUGUUCACACAUUUUCAUUACCACAAAAGUACUGAUGAAAACUGAUCAAAGCUGGGAAACGCAUCGCAGUAGCUCGAAACCCCAUCUCAAGCCAGUCCCUUAUUACCCAGGUCUGCAUUUCCAUGCUCAUCAAACACCUGUGCAGACUGUCUCUGAUUUGCAACUUGCUUCAGAUUGUGUCUCAGAUCUUAACCCCGGAUGUGACAAUAUAAGCUCAACAGACUGCCUUGGCCACCUUAGCAGACUCCUCACUGCGGUCAGAGCCUGCAGCCUCUCCCUACUCCCACUGGUCCUUGGCCAGCAGCUCCUGACACCCAGAGGAUUCAGCUUGGGUUUUCAGAAUCAAGAUAUUCUCAUAGAGACUGGGUCUGCAGCAGGAGAACCAAAGAACAUCUCCUAGCAUUCAUCUUCAGGACCACUGAAGAAAUAAAGCCCUAGAAGGAACAAUGGGAACA
rnacentral:lncRNA from 1 species